CAGUCGCCGCGGGAAUACGUAGGGUGCAAGCGUUAAUCGGAAUUACUGGGCGUAAAGCGUGCGCAGGCGGUCUGACAAGUCAGAUGUGAAAUCCCCGGGCUUAACCUGGGAACUGCAUUUGAAACUGUCAGGCUGGAGUCUUGUAGAGGGGGGUAGAAUUCCAGGUGUAGCGGUGAAAUGCGUAGAGAUCUGGAGGAAUACCGGUGGCGAAGGCGGCCCCCUGGACAAAGACUGACGCUCAGGUGCGAAAGCGUGGGGAGCAAACAGGAUUAGAUACCCCUGUAGUCCCUGUCUCUUAUAC
rnacentral:rRNA from 1 species